rnacentral:lncRNA from 1 species
AGACCCGGAAGCGGAUCGCGGGGAGUGAAGGCUGCGCCGCCGAGCCUGAGUUUCGCUCUCUCUAGAUUAAAUCUGCGCUUCGCAGUCCCCCUUCUUCCAUCCCCCGGGUCUGGAGGGGUCCCUACAGAUCUUAAAAUGACCACACCGCGCCCUCCACCCCAGGGAAGGUUGACAUUCAGGGACGUGGCCAUCGAAUUCUCUCAGGAGGAGUGGAAAUGCCUGGACCCUGCUCAGAGGGCUUUGUACAGGGACGUGAUGUUGGAGAACUACAGGAACCUGGUCUCCCUGGGAAUCUCUCUUUCUGAAAUGAGUAUUACCUCCAUGUUGGGGCAAGGGAAAGAGCCCUGGACUGUGGAGAGUGAAGUGAAAAUAACAAAAACAUCAAGUGGUUGGGAAUGCAUCAAAGGUGUGAACACAGGUAAGAGCUCAAAUGGACAGAGAGGAAGCUGCACCAUUAGUAUUCAGGUAACUCCUUCCGAGUUGAAGAGUUCUGUGGAACAAAAAGGGUUUAAAUCCUGUGAGCUCUCAAUGGAAACCUUUCUUUGCCCUCAUUUAUCCCUCUGCUCUUCUGACGUGUAGUAGUUUAUCCUUUCACACUCCCAUGGCGCUACAGCUCCAACAGUGACAAAGGCAAAGUCUUUAUCAUGAUGGACAACACCCUGUCAUGUGGCUUCUGUGACCUCUUUGGUUUCUUCACUCUGAGGGGCACAGGGAGGGUUGUGUCCAAGAGGUCUCCUGUGAUCUCUCCUGUACCUGACUGCGUCUGAUGCUCAGUUCUCUGUCUAUACAGAUCAGAGCUGAGGCCUCCAUGGACCUGCCCCCUUGACCUAUUCAGGUUUUGCCCCAUUUCCUGUACUUGGGAGACCUAAUCAGGUGACGGGAAAACAUUGGCAGCUCCUCCUUUGCAUCUGGGGCUCCGGAAACCUCAUGGUGCUGUCUCCAGCCCUGUCUGUCUGUCAAAGUCUUUCAGCCUCAGUCAUUUCUUCUGUUCUGCUUUUGCCACAGAUUGCAGUGUGCGCCACAGGGGAGUACACGGGGUUUUCUGAGAUUGUUUACUCAGGUCUGGAAUGGCACUAGACAGAGAGGUCCUCUUUUUUUUUUUCUUCGAGACAGAGUCUGGCUCUCUUGCCCAGGCUGUGAUGCAGUGGUGAGAUCUCAACUCACUGGAACCUCUGCCUCCCAGGUUCAAGUAAUUCUCUUCCCUCAGCCUCCUGAGUAGCUGGAACUACAGGCACAUGUCACCACACCUGGCUAAUUUUUGUAUUUUUUUAAAAAUUAUUAUACUUUAAGUUUUGGCAUACAUGUGCAGAACGUGCAGGUUUGUUACAUAGGUAUACGUGUGCCAUGGAGGUUUGCUGCACCCAUCAACCCGUCAUCUAUAUUAGGUAUUUCUCCUAAUGCUAUCCCUCCCCUACCUCCCCAUCCCCUCCACAGGCCCUGGUAUGUGAUGUUCCCCCUCCCUGUGUCCAUGUGUUCUCAUUGUUCAACUCCCACUUAUGAGUGAGAACAUGCAGUGUUUGGUUUUCUGUUGUGUUAGUUUGCUGAGAAUGAUGGUUUCCAGCUUCAUCCAUGUCCCUGCAAAGGACAUGGACUUAUCCUUCUUUAUGGCUGCAUAGUAUUCCAUGGUGUAUAUGUGCCAUAUUUUCAUUAUCCAGAAACUAAUAUUUCUGGAUAAUGGGCAUUUGGGUUGGUUCCAAGUCUUUGCUGUUGUGAAUAGUGCCACAAUAAACAUACGUGUGCAUGUGUCUUUGUAGUAGAAUGAUUUAUAAUCCUUUGGGUAUAUACCCAGUAAUGGGAUUGCUGGGUCAAAUGGUAUUUCUAGUUCUACAUCCUUGAGGAAUUGCCACACUGUCUUCCACAAUGGUUAAACUAAUUUACACUCCCACCAACAGUGUAAAAGCAUUCCUAUUUCUCCACAUCCUCUCCAGCAUCUGUUGUUUCCUGACAUUUUAAUGAUCAGCAUUCUAACUGGCAUGAGAUGCUUUCUCAUUGUGGUUUUGAUUUGUGUUUCUCUAAUGACCAGUGAUGAUGAGCUUUUUUUCAUAUGUUUCUUGGCCACAUAAAUGUCUUCUUUUGAGAAGUGUCUGUUCAUAUCCUUCGCAUAGAUGUUCAUGAGGGAUAUUGGCCUGAAAUUUUCUUUUUUUGUUGUGUGUCUGCCAGGUUUUGGUAUCAGGAUGAUGCUGGCCUCAUUAAAAUGAAUUAGGGAGGAUUCCCUCUUUUUCUGUUUGGAAUAGUUUCAGAAGGAAUGGUACCAGCUCCUCUUUGUACCUCUGGUAGAAUUCGGCUGUGAAUCUGUCUGGUCCUGGACUUUUUUUGGUUGGUAGGCUAUUAAUUACCGCCUCAAUUUCAGAACUUGUUAUUGGUCUAUUCAGGGAUUCGACUUCUUCCUGGUUUAGUCUUGGGAGGGUGUAUGUAUCCAGGAAUUUAUCCAUUUCUUCUGGAUUUUCUAGUUUAUUUGUGUAGAGGUGUUUAUAGUAUUCUCUGAUGGUAGUUUGUAUUUCUGUGGGAUUGGUGGUGAUAUCCCCUUUAUAAUUUUUAUUGCAUCUAUUUGAUUCUUCUCUCUUUUCUUCUGUAUUAGUCUGGCUAGUGGUCUAUCUAUUUUGUUGAUCUUUUCAGAAAACCAGCUUCUGGAUUCGUCUAUUUUUUGAUGGAUUUUUCGUGCCUCUAUCUCCUUCACUUCUGCGCUGAUCUUAGUUACUUCUUGUCUUCUGCUAGCUUUUGAAUUUAUUUGCUCUUGCUUCUCUAGUUCUUUUAAUUGUGAUGUUAGGGUGUUGAUUUUAGAUCUUUCACGCUUUCUCUUGUGGGCAGUUAGUGCUAUAAAUUUCCCUCUACACAUUGCUUUUAAUGUGUCCCAGAGAUUCUGGUAUGUUGUGUCUUUGUUCUCAUUGGUUUCAAAGACUGCCUUCAUUUCAUUAUUUACCCAGUAGUCAUUCAGGAGAAGGUUGUUCAGUUUCCAUGUAGUUGUGCAGUUUUGAAUGAGUUUCUUAAUCCUGAGUUCUAAUUUGAUUGCACUGUGGUCUGAGAGACGGUUUGUUAUGAUUUCCAUUCUUUUGCAUUUGCUGAGAAGUGUUUUACUUCCAAUUAUGUGGUCAAUUUUAGAAUAAGUGCGAUGUGGUGCUGAGAAGAAUGUAUAUUCUGUUGAUUUGGGGUGGAGAGUUCUGUAGAUGUCUAUUAGGCCUGCUUGGUCCAGAGUUGAGUUCAAGUCCUGGAUAUCCUUGUUAGUUUUCUGUCUCAUUGAUCUGUUUAAUAUUGACAGUGGGGUGUUAAAGUCUCCCACUAUUAUUGUGUGGGAGUCUAAGUCUCUUUGUAGGUCUCCAAGAACUUGCUUUAUGAAUGUGGGUGCUCCUGUAUUGGGUGCAUAUAUAUUUAGUAUAGUUAGCUCUUCUGGUUGCAUUGAUCCUUUACCAUCAUGUAAUGCCCCUCUUUGUCUCUUUUGAUCUUUGUUGGUUUAAAGUCUGUUCUAUCAGAGACUAGGAUUGCAACCCCUGCUUUUUUUGCUUUCCAUUUGCUUGGUAGAUAUUCCUCCAUCCCUUUAUUUUGAGUAUAUGUGUGUCUUUGCAUGUGAGAUGGGUCUCCUGAAUACAGCACACCGAUGGGUCUUGACUCUUUAUCCAAUUUGCCAGUCUGUGUCUUUUAAUUGGGGCAUUUAGCCCAUUUACAUUUAAGGUUAAUAUUGUUACGUGUGAAUUUGAUCCUGUCAUUAUGAUGCUAGCUGGUUAUUUUGCUCAUUAGUUGAUGCAGUUUCUUCAUAGUGUCGAUGGUCUUUACAAUAUGGUAUGUUUUUGCAGUGGCUGGUACCAGUUGUUCCUUUCCAUGUUUAGUGCUUCCUUCCUUAUAAGGCAGGCCUGGUGGUGACAAAAUAUCUCAGCAUUAGCUUGUCUGUAAAGGAUUUGAUUUCUCCUUCACUUAUGAAGCUUAGUUUGGCUGGAUAUGAAACUCUGGGCUGAAAAUUCUUUUCUUUAAGAAUGUUGAAUAUUGGCCCCCACCCUCUUCUGGCUUGUAGAGUUUCUGCCAAGAGAUCUGCUGUUAGUCUUAGGGCUUCCCUUUGUGGGUAACCUGACCUUUCUCUCUGGCUGCCAUUAACAUUUUUUCCUUCAUUUCAACCUUGGUGAAUCUGACGAUUAUGUAUCUUGGGGUUGCUCUCCUUGAGGAGUAUCUUUGUGGUGUUGUCUGUAUUUCCUGAAUUUGAAUGUUGGCCUGUCUUGCUAGGUUGGAUAAGUUCUCCUAUAAUAAUAUCCUGAAGGGUAUUUUCCAACUUGGUUCCAUUCUCCCCAUCACUUUCAGGUACACCAAUCAAAUGUAGAUUUGGUCUUUUCACACAGUCCCAUAUAUCUUGGAGGCUUUGUUCAUUUCUUUUCACUCUUUCUUCUCUAAUCUUGUCUUCUCACUUUAUUUCAUUAAGUUGAUCUUCAAUCUCUGAUAUCCUUUCUGCUGCUUGAUCAAUUCAGUUAUUGAUACUUAUGUAUGCCUCAUGGAGUUCUCAUGCUGCGUUUUUCAGCUCCAUCAGGUCAUUUAUGUUCUUCUCUAAAGUGGUUAUUCUAGUUAGCAAUUCAUUUAACCUUUUUUCAAGGUUCUUUUCUUCCUUGCAUUGGGUUAGAACAUGCUCCUUUAGCUCAGAGGAGUUUGUUAUUACCCACCUUCUGAGGCCUACUUCUGUCAAUUCGUCAAACUCAUUCUCCUAGUUUUGUUCCCUUGCUGGUGAGGAGUUGUGAUUCUUUGGAACAGAAGAGGCAUUCUGGUUCUUUUUGUGCUGGUUUCUCCCCAUCUUUGUGGAUUUAUCUACCUUUGGUCUUUGAUAUUGGUGACCUUCAGAUGGGGUCUCUGAGUGGAUGUCCUUUUAGUUGAUGUUGAUACUAUUCCUGUUUGUUAGUUUUCCUUCUAACAGUCAGGCCCCUCUGCUCCACGUCUGCUGGAGUUUGCUGGGGGUCUACUCCAGACCCUGUUUGCCUGGGUAUCACCAGCAGAGACUGCAGAACAGCAAAGAUUGCUGCCUGUUCCUUCCUCUGGAAGCUUCAUCCCAGAGGGGCACCCGCCAGGUGCCAGCCAGAGCUCUCCUGUACGAGGUGUCUGUCGGCCCCCUACUGGGAGGUAUCUCUCAGUGAGGAUACAUGGGGGGCCAAAGACCCACUUGAGGAGGCAGUCUGUCCUUUAUCAGAGCUCAAACGCCGUGCUGGGAGAUCCGCUGCUGUCUUCAGAGCUAUCAGGCAGGGACGGUUAAGUCUGCUGAAGCUGCUCCCACAGCCGCCUCUUCCCCCAGGUGCUCUGUCCCAGGGAGAUGGGGGUUUUAUCUAUAAGUCCCUGAUUGGGGCUGCUGCCUUUUUUUCAGAGAUGCCCAGCCUAGAGAGGAGGAAUCUAGAGAGGCAGUCUGGCCGCAGUGGCCUUGCUGAGCUGUGGUGGGCUCUGCCCAGUUCAGACUUUCCGGCAGCUUUGUUUACAUUGUGAGGGUAAAACCGCCUACUCAAGCCUCAGCAAUGGCGGAUGCCCCUCCCCCCACCAAGCUCAAGUGUCCCAGGUCGACCUCAGACUGCUGUGCUGGCAGUGAGAAUUUCAAGUCCAUGGAUCUUAGCUUGGUGGGCUCCGUGGGGGUGGGACCCCCCAAGCCAGACCACUUGGCUCCCUGGCUUCAGCCCCCUUUCCAGGGGAGUGAACAGUUCCGUCUUACGGGUGUUCCAGGUGCCACGGGGGUAUGAAAAAAAAACUCCUGCAGCUAGCUCGGUGUCUGCCUAAACGUCCACCCAGUUUUGUGCUUGAAACCCAGGGCCCUGGUGGCGUAGGCACUGGAGGGAAUCUCCUGGUCUGCCGGUUGUGAAGACUGUGGGAAAAGCACAGUAUCUGGGCCAGAGUGCACCGUUCCUCAUGGCACAGUCCCUCACAGCUUCCCUUGGCUAGGGAGGGAAAUCCCCCAACCCCUUGCACUUCCCUGGUGAGGUGACGCCCCACCCUGCUUUCUCUUGCACUCUGUAGGCUGCACCCACUAUCCAACCAAUUCCAGUGAGAUGAAGUGGGUACCUCAGUUGGAAAUGCAGAAAUCACCUGCCUUCUGUGUCGAUCUCGCUGGGAGCCGCAGGCCAGAGCUGUUCCUAUUUGGCCAUCUUGCCAGCAAAUCCCUAAUUUUUGCAUUUUUAAUGGAGAUGAGGUUUCACCAUGUUGGCCACCUGGUCUGGAACUCCUAACCUCAGAUGUCUCUCCUACACAUAUGAUCAAGGAAUUACCACCAAAAGAGAACAAUAGCACAGGAAAAGUAUUCCAAGCAGUGAUGUUGGAAAGACAUGAAAUCCAUGACAUCCAAGAUUUUUACUUCAGAGAAAUGCAGCAAAAUAUUCAUGACUUUGAGUGUCAGUGUCACAAUGAUGAGAGAAAUUACAGAGAAAUACCUGCAAUUAAAAUUAAAAACAUCACUGGAAGAAGAGAUCAAGGUGAUGGAAGGAAUGCAGGAAAUAAGCCAGUUGAAAAUCAGCUUGAACUAAGCUUUUGGUUGCAUCUGGCUGAACUGCAGGGAUUUCAAAUUGAAAGGAAAAUUUAUGAAUGUAAUCAAAUUGAGAAGUCUGUCACCCGUGGGUCCUCAGUUUCAUUACUUCAAACAAAUCUUCCUUGUGUCAACACCAGCAUUUCUAAUAUAUACAGGAAUGAUUUUAUGCAUCCUUCAUUACUCACACAAGACCAGAAAGCAUACAUUAGGGAAAAACCUUACAAAUGUAGUGAUUGUGGCAAGGCCUUUAAUCAGAGGUCCAACCUUACUACACAUCAGAGAAUCCAUACUGGACAGAAACCACAUAAAUGUGACAUAUGUGGCAAAGGUUUCAGGCGAAUUGCAAACCUAGCAAGUCAUCAUAGAAUUCAUACUGGAGAGAAACCUUACAGAUGUAAUGAGUGUGGCAAGACCUUCAAUCAGACGUUCAACCUUACUACACAUCAGAGAAUCCAUACUGGACAGAAACCAUAUAAAUGUGAUAGAUGUGGCAAAGGUUUCAGGCAAAUUGGAAACCUAGCAAGUCAUCAUAGAAUUCAUACUGGAGAGAAACCUUACAGAUGUAACGAGUGUGGCAAGACCUUUAACAGGAUGUUCCACCUUACUAGACAUCAGAGAAUCCAUACUGGACAGAAACCAUAUAAAUGUGAUAUAUGUGGCAAAGGUUUCAGGCAAAUUGCAAACCUAGCAAGUCAUCAUAGAAUUCAUACUGGAGAGAAACCUUACAAAUGUAGUGAUUGUGGCAAGACCUUUAAUUACAGGUCCCACCUUACAAGACAUCAGAGAAUCCAUACUGGACAGAAACCGUAUAAAUGUGAUACAUGUGGCAAAGAUUUCAGUCAAAAUUCAUACCUUGAAAAUCAUCAGAGAAUUCACACUAGAGAGAAAUCUUACAGAUGUAAUGAGUGUGGCAAGACCUUUAAUAAGAUGACCAACCUUACUACACAUCAGAGAAUCCAUACUGGACAGAAAACAUAUAAAUGUGAUAUAUGUGGCAAAGGUUUCAGGCAAAUUGGAAACCUAGCAAGUCAUCAUAGAAUUCAUACUGGAGAGAAACCUUACAGAUGUAAUGAGUGUGGCAAGACCUUCAAUAGGAUGUUCCACCUUACUAGACAUCAGAGAAUCCAUACUGGACAGAAACCAUAUAAAUGUGAUAUAUGUGGCAAAAGUUUCAGUCAAAAUUCAUACCUUGAAAAUCAUCAGAGAAUUCACACUGGAGAGAAAACUUACAAGUUGUAAUUAGUGUGGCAAAGCCUUUAGCGUGCGCUCAAACCUAACUAAACAUCAGGUCAUCCAUAAUGGAGAGAGACCUUAUAAAUGUAAUGAGUGGGACAAGGCUUUUUUUUCAGAGUUCAAAAUUGUAAAACAUCACAGGAUUCAUUCUGGAGAGAAACAAAACAAAAGUAAUGAAUGUAGUAAGGCAUUUAUUCAAAAUUCAAGUCUGGUGGACCAUCAGAGAACUCACACUGGAGAGAAACCUUACAAGUGUAAUGAGUGUGGUAAAACCUUUAUUGGGCAUUCAAGCCUAACUAACCAUCAGGUAAUUCAUACUGGAGAGAAACCUUACAAAUGUAAUGAGUGUGGAAAGGCUUAUGUGAAGUGGUCCCACCUUAGACAUCAUGAGAGUAUUCAAACUGGAGAGAAGCCAUACAAAUGUACCAAAUGCAGCAAGGCCUUUAGACAAUGGGCGGACAUCAGGAUUCACCAAAAAAUCUAUGCUGGAGAGAAACCUCACAAGUAUGAUGAGUGUGGAAAAACCUUUACCCAGGCCUCUCACCUCACUAUACAUCAGAUUAUCCAUACUGGAGAGAAACCAUAUGAAUAUGACAUAUAUGGCAAAGUCUUCAGUCAAAAUUCACAUUUCAAAAGUUAUCAUAGGAUUUGUACUGAAGAGAAGCCUUACAAAUGUGUGUGGCAAGGUCCUCAGUCAAAAUUCACACCUUGUAAAUCAUCAGAGAAUUCAUACUGGAGAGAAAUCCUACAGAUGUCAUGAAUGUGGCAAAGCCUUUACUCAAGGCUCACGCUUCAUUAAUCAUCAGAUAGUUCAUACUGGAGAGAACUUUCCAAAUGUACUGAAUGUAGCAAGGCUUUUAAGAAUGGCCCUAAACUCAGGACUCACCAAAUAGAUCAUACUUGUAAAUGCAAUGAAUGUAGCAGUGUUUUAAAGUAGUGCUUGCUACUCAUUAGAUAAGAGUAUCUAAUAUAUCUUGGGGCAAAGGCACACAAAUGCAAUGUCUGUGACAAGGAUUUUAUCUGAGGAUCAAAAGUUGGGGAACAGAAUAAUUCGUACUGGGGAGAAACCUUAGAAAUCCAAUGAGCAUGGGAAAAACUUUACCAUGAGUUCAAGUACUACAAGACAUCAGAGAGUUCAUAUUGAAGAGAAACCAUGUAAAUAUAAGAUGGAGUCUUGCACUGUCGCCCAGGUUGGAGUGCAUUGGCCCGAUCUUGGCUCACCACAACCUCCGCCUCCUGGAUUCCAGCAAUUCUGCCUCAGCCUCCCAAGUAGCUGGGACUACAGGCGCGUGCCACCACACCCGGUUAAUUUUUUGUAUUUUUUAGUAGAUACGGGGUUUCACCAUAUCGGCCAGGCUGGUCUCGAACUCCUGACCUCGUGAUCUGCCUGCCUCAGCCUCCCAAAGUGCUGGGAUUACAGGCUUGAGCUCCUGCGCCCAGCCCAUGCUAAGUCUUUUACCCAGUGGUCAAAACUGGCACAACACAGGAUUUAUACUGGAGAGCAACCUCACAAAUGUAAUGAAAGUGGUAAGGCUUUUUAUCAAAUGUCCUUGUCUUUGGGGUCAUGAGAAAAUUCAUACAGAAUCUAUUAAAAAUGUACUAAACAUGGAAAGACCUUUAAGCAACAGUGAUGUGAUGAAGGUGGUAGUUUUUUAAAUGAACUCCCAUAAGAGUCUACACACCAUAGAACUCAUACCAGGAAUCACAAAGUCUCUAAAUUUCCAAAGUUAACUGGAAAUAUUACAAACUGCAGAAUAAUUCCAGGCCAAAAUAUGUUAAAUUCAUAACAUGAUGUAUAUCAAAGGAAAAAAGGACAUGUGGAAAUGACACAUUAUCUUCAGUGUAUAAAAUAUUCAUUUAUGUGAAGUUUCUUGGAAAGGCUACACUACUAUUACUGGUUUCCGUCUGAUGUUUGAGAUCUGUUGAUUUUAUGCUUUUCUUACAGGCCUUUCAUUAUGAUCUUUGGGAAGGAAUCAAUAAAAUGAUAGGGCCUACUUCAUUAGGUGUGGUUCAUUCCUAUUCAUGCUCCCUGGAAGAACAAGAAUGCUGAAUUUUGAAAUUUAAUAUUGUAUGAAUUAGCAUCAGGGAGAGGUGGAGAAAAAUACAAAACUAAAAGUCAUGCUUAUUGUGUUCAGUGUGCCCUUCUCCAGAGGGCCACUGGCUUAUAGGAAAGGAUUGCUGCUCUACCAGUUGACCAGGAGAUGGCACGCCAGGACAUUAAGACACUGGAGUUUUGUUUCGUUUUUUUUUUUUUUUUGAGAUGGAGUCUCGCUCUCUUGACAGGCAGGAGUACAGUGGUGCGAUCUCGGCUCACUGCAAACUCCGCCUCCCGGGUUCAAGUGAUUCUCCUGCCUCAGCCUCCCGAGUAGCUGGGACUACAGGCGUGUGCCACCACCCCCAGCUAACUUUUGUAUUUUUAGUAGAGACAGGGUUUCACCAUGUUAGCCAGGAUGGUCUCAAUCUCUUGACCUCAUGAUCCGCCCGCCUCCGCCUUCCAAAGUGCUGGGAUUACAGGCGUGAGCCAGUGUGCCCGGCCGACACUGGGCUUUUUAUGAGAGUGACAGAUUACUAGGACCUCAUUAUGUGGUAGAAGUAAUGUAGGGGAAAUGGCGAUUAUCUUUUUUUAAAAGCAAUAGCUGUUGUAUAUCAAUGAUAAAUGAAAAAUUAGUUAUUCUUGUAAAUUGAAGAAAGAAUGGUUAUCAUAGAGGGUAGUUCAAGUAAAAGAACCAGGGCUGGGUGUGGUGGCUCACGUUCUGUAAUCCCUGUACUUUGGGAGGCCAAGGCAGAUGGAUCUCUUGAGGCCAGGAGUUCGAGACCAGCCUGACCAACAUGGCAAAACCGUGUCUCUACAAAAAAUACAAAAAUUAGCCGGACAUCGUGGUAGAUGCCUGUAAUCUCAGAUAUUCAGGAGACCGAGGGGAAAAUCACUUGAACCCGGGAGACGGAGGUUGCAGUGAGCUGAGAUCGCACCACUGCUCGCCAGCCUGGGCAACAGAGUGAGACUCUGCCUCAAAAAAAAACCAAACCAAACCAAAGAACCAGAAUAGCAUGUGCACAUAUACACAGACGUUUCACAACUGGCAUUAUGUUUUGCUACUGUUUUAUUUACAAUGUAUCACAAGUUUUAUGCUUUAAUAAAAUUUAAUCAUAACUUCUAAUGAAUCAUGUUUCUUCUGCCACCACAGUUUUAUCUCACCUCAGUUGGGUAUUUCAUAACAGAUAGUAAUAGUGCACCAUUAGGCUCUCUAGGUUGAAGGAGUCUUGCAGGGGAACAUGAGGUUUGUGCUUUAACUGUGGCAACUGACAUCCAGUAUCCUCCCCUUUAAUUUGUUCUCAUCCAAAACUAAUCCAUCUGUUUUUCUUUAAUAAGUGAUUUUUCAAGUUUGCACUUACUUUUUCCUUUACAUUACACUUUAAGUAAGAGUCACUGUUAUUAGUGCUUUAUGUGUAAUAACAACCUGUGAGAUAAGUACUGAUGUUAUUCACAUAUCACAAACGAGGAAACUUAGGGCCAAGAUGCUUUAAGGACUCAUCCACAUCCCUGUAAGUGGGUGAAUCAGGAUUCACGUUUGGCUGCAAAGAUGAGUGAUAUAGUUUGGAUCUGUGUCCCUGCCCAGAUUUCCUGUCAAAUGGUAAUCCCCAGUGUUGGAGGUGGGACCUGAUGGGAGGUGAUUGGAUCAUGGGGGCAGAUUCCCCUGUGGUGCCGUUCUUGUGAUGGUGAGUUCUCAUGAGAUCUGGUUGUGUAAAAGUGUGUGGCACCUCCCCCUCUCUCUCUUCCUUCUGCUCUGGUCAUGUGAAGUGCCUGCUCCCACUUUGCCUUCCGCAAUCAUUCUAAGUUUCCUGAGGCCUACUCAGGAGCUGAGCAGAUGCCAGCAUCAUACUUCCUGUACAGCAUGCAGAACUGUGGCCAAUUAAACCUCUUUUCUUCAUAAAUUACCCAAUAUCAGGUAUUUACCCAAUAUCAGGUAUUUCUUCAUAGCAGUGCAAGAAUGGACCAAUACAAUGAAUGUGUUAACCAUGGCGAUCCACUAACAUGGCUAGUUUUCUUUUCUUUCU